rnacentral:tRNA from 1 species
CUGGGUGUGGCUCAGUGGGUAGAGCGCUUGCCUGGCAUGCAGGAAGCCCUGGGUUCCAUCCCCAGCCCACAUA